rnacentral:rRNA from 1 species
GAUGAACGCUGGCGGCGUGCCUAAUACAUGCAAGUCGAGCGAACGGACGAGAAGCUUGCUUCUCUGAUGUUAGCGGCGGACGGGUGAGUAACACGUGGAUAACCUACCUAUAAGACUGGGAUAACUUCGGGAAACCGGAGCUAAUACCGGAUAAUAUUUUGAACCGCAUGGUUCAAAAGUGAAAGACGGUCUUGCUGUCACUUAUAGAUGGAUCCGCGCUGCAUUAGCUAGUUGGUAAGGUAACGGCUUACCAAGGCAACGAUGCGUAGCCGACCUGAGAGGGUGAUCGGCCACACUGGAACUGAGACACGGUCCAGACUCCUACGGGAGGCAGCAGUAGGGAAUCUUCCGCAAUGGGCGAAAGCCUGACGGAGCAACGCCGCGUGAGUGAUGAAGGUCUUCGGAUCGUAAAGCUCUGUUAUUAGGGAAGAACAUAUGUGUAAGUAACUGUGCACAUCUUGACGGUACCUAAUCAGAAAGCCACGGCUAACUACGUG